ACGGGGUGCAGCAGGCGCGAAACCUCCGCAAUGCACGCAAGUGCGACGGGGAACCCCAAGUGCCACUCUUAACGGGGUGGCUUUUCAGAAGUGUAAAAAGCUUCUGGAAUAAGGGCUGGGCAAGACCGGUGCCAGCCGCCGCGGUAACACCGGCAGCUCAAGUGGUAGCCGCUUUUAUUGGGCCUAAAGCGUCCGUAGCCGGUCUGAUAAGUCUCUGGUGAAAUCCCACAGCUUAACUGUGGGAAUUGCUGGAGAUACUAUCAUGACUCGAGGUCGGGAGAGGCAGGAGGUACUCCCAGGGUAGGGGUGAAAUCCUGUAAUCCUGGGAGGACCACCUGUGGCGAAGGCGUCCAGCUGGAACGAACCUGACGGUGAGGGACGAAAGCCAGGGGCGCGAACCGGAUUAGAUACCCGGGUAGUCCUGGCCGUAAACGAUGUGGACUUGGUGUUGGGAUGGCUUCGAGCUGCCCCAGUGCCGAAGGGAAGCUGUUAAGUCCACCGCCUGGGAAGUACGGCCGCAAGGCUGAAACUUAAAGGAAUUGGCGGGGGAG
rnacentral:rRNA from 1 species